UACGUAGGGUGCAAGCGUUAAUCGGAAUUACUGGGCGUAAAGCGUGCGCAGGCGGUUUUGUAAGCCAGAUGUGAAAGCCCCGGGCUUAACCUGGGAAUGGCAUUUGGGACUGCAAGGCUUGAGUGCGGCAGAGGAGACUGGAAUUCCUGGUGUAGCAGUGAAAUGCGUAGAUAUCAGGAGGAAUACCGAUGGCGAAGGCAGGUCUCUAGGCUGACACUGACGCUCAUGCACGAAAGCGUGGGGAGCAAACAGG
rnacentral:rRNA from 1 species